GAAACAAGAAAAAGGGGGGAGAACACCAAAACCCUAAAACUCAUCAACUUGAUCGAAUUGAAGGUGUAAUCGAGUCUUAUAAUUGUGCAUAAACGAAGAUUAUUGAUCACCUAUACUAGGGAAUGAUAAGGCAACUCGAGUGGAGCUUCGGAAGGUCAAGUCGGGGCGGAUACGCGCUUAAAAGGAAAGCUUUAAGGUGUUAGGAGGAUGUUUUGAAUGAAGAUCAAGCUUACCAAAGAACCGA
rnacentral:lncRNA from 1 species